rnacentral:rRNA from 1 species
ACGCGUGGAACCUUACCAGGUCUUGACAUCCCAUUGACCGCUAUGGAGACAUAGCUUUCCCUUCGGGGACAGUGGUGACAGGUGGUGCAUGGUUGUCGUCAGCUCGUGUCGUGAGAUGUUGGGUUAAGUCCCGCAACGAGCGCAACCCUUGUUCUUAGUUGCCAUCAUUUAGUUGGGCACUCUAAGGAGACUGCCGGUGACAAACCGGAGGAAGGUGGGGAUGACGUCAAAUCAUCAUGCCCCUUAUGACCUGGGCUACACACGUGCUACAGUGGACGGUACAAACGGUUGCCAACCCGCGAGGGGGAGCUAAUCCGAUAAAACCGUUCUCAGUUCGGAUUGUAGGCUGCAACUCGCCUGCAUGAAGCCGGAAUCGCUAGUAAUCGCGGAUCAGCAUGCCGCGGUGAAUACGUUCCCGGGCCUUGCACUCACCGCCCGU